rnacentral:rRNA from 1 species
UACGAAGGGGGCGAGCGUUGUUCGGAUUUACUGGGCGUAAAGGGCGCGUAGGCGGCCCUCCUAGUCGCGUGUGAAAUCCCCGGGCUCAACCCGGGAACUGCGUCCGAUACUGGCAGGCUUGAAUUCGGGAGAGGGAUGUGGAAUUCCAGGUGUAGCGGUGAAAUGCGUAGAUAUCUGGAGGAACACCGGUGGCGAAGGCGGCAUCCUGGACCGAUAUUGACGCUGAUGCGCGAAAGCCAGGGGAGCAAACGGG